CAUGGUUAUUGCUUUUACCAAAUAAAUAUUGAACAUGGAAUUUGAUGGUGUCAAAACGCUCCUGAAAACCUGGCGCAGGCGGCAAAAAGACCGAGAAAGUUGGGGAAUGCUCAUCAAACACCUGCUUGGAACGUCCCACAGGUGAGCAGGCUAACUGAAAACAGGUGGAUGCCAUGAUUGCGUAGAAAAGGAGCUUCCUUGAAUUACUCGGUCAUCCACAAGAAAAGGUGGGGUGAGGUUUACCUCUCUGUUCACAGAAAAACUGUUCUGUGUUCUGACGAGUCCACAUUUCAAAUGUUUUUUGGAAAUUGUGGACAUCUUGUUCUCCGGACCAAGGAGUGAAAGAACCAUCAGGACUGUUGCAGAUGCAAAGUUCAAAAGUCAGCAUCUGUGACGGUCUGGGCCUGUGUCUGCACCAAUGGCGUGGGUAACUUACACACCUAUGAAGGCACCAUUAAUUUCAGUGUGGCUUCAAGGUAAAAGAGUGCAGAUACUAGACCGGCCUGCCUGCAGUCCAGACCUGUCUCCCGAUGUGUGGCGCAUUAAAAACAACAACGGAGACUGCUGAGAAGCUGCACAUCAAGCAAGAAAGGACUGCAGCCGUAAAAGUCCAAGUUAAUGGUUAUUUGCUAAAAGCAAUCAAGUUCAUCACAUUGAACAUUAAAUAUCUUGUCGUAGUAGUGUAUUCAAUUAAAUGGAGGUUGAACAUGUUUUGUAAA